UAACGAUACGGGACUCAUCCGAGGCCCCGUAAUCGGAAUGAGUACACUUUAAAUCCUUUAACGAGGACCCAUUGGAGGGCAAGUCUGGUGCCAGCAGCCGCGGUAAUUCCAGCUCCAAUAGCGUAUAUUAAAGUUGUUGCGGUUAAAAAGCUCGUAGUUGAAUCUGUGUGCCACGCUGUCGGUUCAUCGCUCGCGAUGUUUAACUGACAUGAUUGUGGGACGUCCUACCGGUGGGCUUAGCUCUUCACGGGGCGGUCCAGCUAAUAUCCCAUCGCGGUGCUCUUCACCGAGUGUCGAGGUGGGCCGGUACGUUUACUUUGAACAAAUUAGAGUGCUCAAAGCAGGCUAUGUUCGCCUGAAUAUUUUUUGCAUGGAAUAAUGGAAUAGGACCUCGGUUCUAUUUUGUUGGUUUUCGGAACCCCGAGGUAAUGAUUAAUAGGGACAGAUGGGGGCAUUCGUAUUGCGACGUUAGAGGUGAAAUUCUUGGAUCGUCGCAAGACGGACAGAAGCGAAAGCAUUUGCCAAAAAUGUUUUCAUUAAUCAAGAACGAAAGUUAGAGGUUCGAAGGCGAUCAGAUACCGCCCUAGUUCUAACCAUAAACGAUGCCAGCUAGCGAUCCGCCGAAGUUCCUUAGAUGACUCGGCGGGCAGCUUCCGGGAAACCAAAGCUUUUGGGUUCCGGGGGAAGUAUGGUUGCAAAGCUGAAACUUAAAGGAAUUGACGGAAGGGCACCACCAGGAGUGGAGCCUGCGGCUUAAUUUGACUCAACAC
rnacentral:rRNA from 1 species